rnacentral:rRNA from 1 species
GACGAGCCACACGAACGUUAUUCGGAAUUACUGGGCUUAAAGGGUGCGUAGGCGGUGCGGAAGGUUGGGUGUGAAAUACCUCGGCUCAACCGAGGAACUGCGCCCAAAACUACCGCACUCGAGGAAGAUAGAGGUGAGCGGAACUUACGGUGGAGCGGUGAAAUGCGUUGAUAUCGUAAGGAACACCCGUGGCGAAAGCGGCUCACUGGGUCUUCUCUGACGCUGAUGCACGAAAGCUAGGGGAGCAAACGGG